GGCCCGUUGGUCAAGCGGCUAAGACGCGACCCUCUCAAGGUUGAAACAUGGGUUCGAUUCCCGUACGGGUCACCA
rnacentral:tRNA from 1 species